UAAUAGCCCUGAUUGAAAUGGAAAUCCUUUUUCGUCAGUUCGAGUAGCUCGAAGAGCGUAUCGAGAACAAGAAAAAGAUUGUAAUGAAAAGCAGGAAUAGGG
rnacentral:sRNA from 1 species